AGGAGUUUAAGUGCAGGGAAUAUGGUUUACAGGCCUAACUGAGGUGUGGGUUUGGUUGAGGGAAACUGGAUCUUAUGGCGGAGGAGUUACGGUCGUGCUCUCCAGGCGUCUGAACUCCGUGCCUGGGCCGGCAAGCCUGAGAACGUUCUGGCUGGACAGCAGGAGCUUCUGAAGAGAGCUAAGGCUAACGGUCUAGCCAGCCAAGCCAAAUACGUAGCUGGUUCGAUUCCGUCUUUAGCUGCCUCAAAAUCCAACUUUGUUAAGUCGCACGCCUACUAAAAUGUUAUCUUUAAAGAGUUUAUGGUUAAAUCUCGAAUUUUUCGAUUUACACAGAGAUUUUAAA